rnacentral:rRNA from 1 species
CCUAGGGUGGCAGCAGUGGGGAAUAUUGGGCAAUGGGCGCAAGCCUGACCCAGCAACGCCGCGUGAAGGAAGAAGGCUUUCGGGUUGUAAACUUCUUUUCUCAGGGACGAAGCAAGUGACGGUACCUGAGGAAUAAGCCACGGCUAACUACGUGCCAGCAGCCGCGGUAAUACGUAGGUGGCAAGCGUUAUCCGGAUGUACUGGGUGUAAAGGGCGUGUAGGCGGGACUGCAAGUCAGAUGUGAAAACCACGGGCUCAACCUGUGGCCUGCAUUUGAAACUGUAGUUCUUGAGUACUGGAGAGGCAGACGGAAUUCCUAGUGUAGCGGUGAAAUGCGUAGAUAUUAGGAGGAACACCAGUGGCGAAGGCGGUCUGCUGGACAGCAACUGACGCUGAGGCGCGAAAGCGUGGGGAGCAAACAGGAUUAGAUACCCUUGUAGUC